rnacentral:rRNA from 1 species
UACGUAGGGUGCGAGCGUUGUCCGGAAUUAUUGGGCGUAAAAGGGCUCGUAGGCGGUUUUGUCGCGUCGGGAGUGAAAUCCACGGGCUUAACUGGUGGCUUGCUUUCGAUACGGGCAGACUGGAGGUAUGCAGGGGGAGAACGGAAUUCCUGGUGUAGCGGUGAAAUGCGCAGAUAUCAGGAGGAACACCGGUGGCGAAGGCGGUUCUCUGGGCAUUACCUGACGUGAGGAGCGAAAAGUGUGGGGGAGCGAACAGG